rnacentral:tRNA from 1 species
GGGGUUGUAGCUCAGUGGUAGAGUGCUUACCUCGCAAGCAUGAGACCCUGGGUUUGAUCCUCAGCACCACA